CACGCGCAUGAAUGGAGUC
rnacentral:sRNA from 1 species